rnacentral:rRNA from 1 species
AUUGAACGCUGGCGGCAGGCUUAACACAUGCAAGUCGAGCGGGGGAAGGUAGCUUGCUACCGGACCUAGCGGCGGACGGGUGAGUAAUGCUUAGGAAUCUGCCUAUUAGUGGGGGACAACAUCUCGAAAGGGAUGCUAAUACCGCAUACGUCCUACGGGAGAAAGCAGGGGAUCUUCGGACCUUGCGCUAAUAGAUGAGCCUAAGUCGGAUUAGCUAGUUGGUGGGGUAAAGGCCUACCAAGGCGACGAUCUGUAGCGGGCCUGAGAGGAUGAUCCGCCACACUGGGACUGAGACACGGCCCAGACUCCUACGGGAGGCAGCAGUGGGGAAUAUUGGACAAUGGGGGGAACCCUGAUCCAGCCAUGCCGCGUGUGUGAAGAAGGCCUUAUGGUUGUAAAGCACUUUAAGCGAGGAGGAGGCUACUCUAGUUAAUACCUAGGGAUAGUGGACGUUGCUCGCAGAAUAAGCACCGGCUAACUCUGUGCCAGCCGCCGCUGUAA